GACGAACCGUGCGAACGUUGUUCGGAAUCACUGGGUUUAAAGGGUGCGUAGGCGGUUCUAUAAGUCAGUGGUGAAAUCCGGCAGCUCAACUGUCGAUGUGCCAUUGAAACUGCAGAACUUGAGUACAGACGAGGUAGGCGGAAUUGACGGUGUAGCGGUGAAAUACUUAGAUAUCGUCAAGAACACCGAUAGCGAAGGCAGCUUACUAGACUGUAACUGACGCUGAUGCACGAAAGUGUGGGGAUCAAACAGG
rnacentral:rRNA from 1 species